AGUGGAUCGGACAGUCGCGGCGGCAAGGCGAAAGCCUGUCGAUGAGGAAAGUCCGGGCUCCACAGGGCAAGGAUAACGGGUAACGCCCGCCGAAGGCGACUUCAGGAAAAGUGCAACAGAGAUAUACCGCCUCGUAUGAGGUAAGGGUGGAAAGGUGAAGGUAAGAGCUCACCCGACGGCGUGGAAGCGUCCGUCGCUGUAAACUCUAUCCGGAGCAACACCGGUAUGGGGACAUUGGCUGGCCCGGCCGUCCCCGGGGUGGCUUGAGUGUGCCGGCAACGGUACGCCUAGAUAGAUGACUGUCAAGACAGAACCCGGCUUACAGAUCGGCUCG
rnacentral:RNase_P_RNA from 1 species